rnacentral:tRNA from 2 species
GGUAAAAUGGCUGAUUAAGGUGAUAAAUUGUAAAUUUAUUAAUGGAUUUUCCUUUUACUA